rnacentral:rRNA from 1 species
AUGGGGAUGUACGCUGCGCUCCGCACUGCGCAGUGGGUGCUGGGCAAGGCGCUAGCCCCCGUUGCCGAUGGCGUGCUAGGGGCUUGGGCAGCAACCAAGAACUUUGGUCCCAACGUCGAGGCCCUCAGCACUGAACUACUGCUCGUGAAGGCCGCGCUUGAGCAGGCUGCCCACAAGGAGCUCGGAGGCCCGGCAAUGGAGAUGCUGCUUCAGAAGUUGCUGGACUCGGCACACAAUGCCGAAGACUUGCUGGAUGAGCUGGACUACUUCCGCAUCCACGACAGGCUCCAUGGCACGUAUGAUGCUGCCGACGAGCACGGCAAGGGUUGCACCCGUAACCUUGCCCUCAAUGCUCGCCACACUGCCAAAGCUGUUGGCAAACUGGUCAACUAUUGCGCUUGGCAUCGUGCUAAGCGCCGGCAGAGUUCACACAACAAUUCCUUGACGCCAAAUGCCAAUCAGGAGGUCAGCAGAUUCAUGCCCAAGCUCUGUAAACUCCUCCCUUGCUCAUCCUUCCCACAUCCGCAUGUUGGUGAUGACGAUCGUGGCAAUGAGCAAGAAACACCAAAGCUUGAGUUUAAUAGGGUUGGUUUCUCUCAAAGGAUGAAGGAAAUUGUAGAGAAACUGCAGCAUAUGCGCAAUGAGAUUAACAAGAUUUUGCAGGGUUGUGCCCCUAAAACUGUUCCAGACAUUGCCCAGGGUCGUCCUAUCACCAAAGGUCGAAUUGAUGAGCCAAAACUGUAUGGGAGGGACAGUGUCAUGAAGAGCAUCAUGGAUGAUAUCACCAAUGGUCAAUACUGUGACAAUGGUCUAACCGUGCUUCCGGUUGUUGGUCCGGGAGGAAUGGGGAAGACAACUCUGAUACAACACAUAUAUCACAAUGAACAAGUGCAGAAUCAUUUUCCAGUCACUAUUUGGAUAUGUGUGUCAGUCAAGUUUGAUCUGGAAAAAGUGCUAGGACAGAUUAAAACAUGUAUCCCUGCAGUUAAAGAUGAAAAAGAGGGCAGUACAACUGAAGAUUUGAUUGAGCAAAGAUUGAAAUCUAAAAGAGGGAAAGGGUUCCAUGAUUCUGGUCACAACUCGGUUUGA